rnacentral:rRNA from 1 species
CCUACGGGAGGCAGCAGUGGGGGAUAUUGGACAAUGGGGGGAACCCUGAUCCAGCGACGCCGCGUGAGUGAAGAAGUAUUUCGGUAUGUAAAGCUCUGUCAGCAGGGAAGAAAGAAAUGACGGUACCUGACCAAGAAGCCCCGGCUAACUACGUGCCAGCAGCCGCGGUAAUACGUAGGGGGCAAGCGUUAUCCGGAAUUACUGGGUGUAAAGGGAGCGUAGACGGUUAAGUAAGUCUGGAGUGAAAGGCCGGGGCCCAACCCCGGGACUGCUCUGGAAACUAGUGAACUUGAGUGCAGGGGAGGUAAGCGGAAUUCCUAGUGUAGCGGUGAAAUGCGUAGAUAUUAGGAGGAACACCAGUGGCGAAGGCGGCUUACUGGACUGUAACUGACGUUGAGGCUCGAAAGCGUGGGGAGCAAACAGGAUUAGAUACCCUAGUAGUC